rnacentral:rRNA from 1 species
ACUCAAAUGAAUUGACGGGGACCCGCACAACCGGUGGAGCGUGUGGUUUAAUUCGAGACAAAGCGAAAAACCUUACCAGGGUUUGACAUCUUACCGUUUUAUACUUUUGGAAACUUUAGUAGAUCCGCAAGGAUGGUAGGACAGGUGCUGCAUGGCUGUCGUCAGCUCGUGCCGUGAGGUGUUCCCUUAAGUGGGGAAACGAGCGCAACCCCCGCCUAAUGUUACAUAUUCAUUAGGGACAGCCCCAGUUUUUCUGGGGAGGAAGGAGGGGAAGACGUCAAGUCAGCACGGCCCUUAUACCCUGGGUUACACACACCCUACAAUGGCGAAAAACAACGAGCUGCAAGGUAGCAAUGCCAAGCAAAUCUCUUAAAUUUCGCCUCAGUUCAGAUUGGAGUCUGCAACCCGACUCCAUGAAGUCGGAAUCGGUAGUAAUCGCGAAUCAGCAGGUCGCGGUGAAUACGUUCUCGGGUCUUGUACACACCGCCCGU